GGGCUGUAGCUCAGUAGGUAGAGCAUUUGCUUUGCAUGCUUAAGGUCCCAGGUUCAAUCCCUGCUGGCAUCU